rnacentral:tRNA from 1 species
GGAGAGAUGGCUCAGUGGUUAAGAGCACUGACUGCUCUUCCAGAGGUCCUGAGUUCAAAUCCCAGCAACCACG